GGGGGGCAGCAGUGGGGAAUAUUGCACAAUGGGCGCAAGCCUGAUGCAGCCAUGCCGCGUGUAUGAAGAAGGCCUUCGGGUUGUAAAGUACUUUCAGCGGGGAGGAAGGCGAUAAGGUUAAUAACCUUGUCGAUUGACGUUACCCGCAGAAGAAGCACCGGCUAACUCCGUG
rnacentral:rRNA from 1 species